AGCAGCCGCGGUAAUUCCAGCUCCAAUAGCGUAUAUUAAAGUUGUUGCAGUUAAAAAGCUCGUAGUUGAAUUUCGGGAUUGACGUGAUGGUCAUGCCUUAAGGGGUAUGAACUGUUGCUGUUGAUUUCUCACCUUCUGGAGAAACUUGAUGUCCUUUAUUGGGUGUCUUGCGGAUCCAGGACCUUUACCUUGAAAAAUUAGAGUGUUUAAAGCAGGCAUUUUUGCUCGAAUACAUUAGCAUGGAAUAAUAGAAUAGGACGGCAUGGUUCUAUUUUGUUGGUUUCUAGGACCACCGUAAUGAUUAAUAGGGAUAGUUGGGGGCAUUAGUAUUCAAUUGUCAGAGGUGAAAUUCUUGGAUUUAUUGAAGACUAACUACUGCGAAAGCAUUUGCCAAGGUAUGUUUUCAUUAAUCAAGAACGAAAGUUAGGGGAUCGAAGACGAUCAGAUACCGUCGUAGUCUUAACCAUAAACUAUGCCGACUAGGAAUCAGACGAUGUAAUUUUUAAUGACUCGUUUGG
rnacentral:rRNA from 1 species